ACUGUCUGUCUCUGUGUGUGUGUGUGACUGUCUCUGUGUGUGACUGCCUGCCUGUGUGUGACUGUCUGUGUGUGUGACUGUCUGUCUGUGUGACUGCCCAUGUAUGUGACUGCCUGUGUGUGUGACUGUCUGUCUGUGUGACUGCCCGUGUGUGUGACUGCCCGUGUGUGUGACUGCCUGUGUGUGUGAGACUGUCUGUCUGUGUGACUGUCUGUGUGUGUGACUGUCUGUCUGUGUGUGUGACUGCCUGUGUGUGUGACUGCCUGUAUGUGACUGCCUGCCUGCCUGUGUGUGUCUGUCUGUAACUAUCUGUCU